UAUUGUUCAGCAGUUUGGUCAGCCUUGUGUGUUUUUAAAGUGCUAUAUAAAUAAACAAUGAUGAUGAUGAUGAACAUAGUAACGUGUGUUGGGUUGCUCUGUCUUCAGACUCACUGUCAGACUGAUUAGACAGUGAGUCUGAAGGUGAGAGUCCUCACUGCCCACGCCUGUCUUUGGGUCUGACCAACACCGUUUCCUGUGUGUCAUUCCCCCCUCGCCUUCCCCCCAUCCGUCCUGUCUGCACUGACCUCUCCAAUAAAGACAAAAGGCCUCAUUUUCUGAAACUCUUCCUAUCCCAUCACCUUGCGAAGAAUCACUUCACCAUGUUGAUUAAUAAGGACGGUGGGAAUGGUUUGAAGUCUCGUCACAGAAAAUGUGCCAAAGGCAAAGAAUCUGAGCUUGAAAUAAAAUGAAAUGAAAGAUCAGCCCCACACAGGGGUUAAAUUCAGAUGGAAACUCUUAUCACACAAAGAGAACAAGCGAAUAAAUAUAUCUGAGUGUGGCCCCUCGACUGUCACAGUGUAGCUGACAUUUGAUCUUAUCAUGUGUUAAAGCUAUUUUAAUUACUGAAGAGAACCAGUGUCAAACUCAGCCCAAGUAUGGUUGUACGUUAAUCCUUAAAGCAACAACGUUUUUAAAGUUGCAGCGUCAUUUUUACACCACACCUAAAAUCCCACUAAUCGUCCGGGCUCUUCACCCUAUGACCACACGCUGGGGUAUCUAACACCACAUGACCCAAAUGGAAACUAUGUCAGCUGAAAGAAACCCAUCGAAAUGUGCAACACUUAAAACUUUGCCUGAUUGGAGCAUGGCUUCAAAUACAGCCCUGAAAACAGACAGGCGGUCGUUGGCAUUUCGUUACAAAGUUUCCUUGUUCAAAACUUCUGCUUCAUUAUAGCAACCGAGUGACUGGGAUCUACGAGCUGAGCUUGUGUAAGAUGUCUGACACUGGAAGCUCAGGUGAGCGGCCAUGAAACAUGUUUAAAGAACGGCAGCUGUUUUAUCAUAAUUCUGUGGAGAGCUUCAUCCUAAUGAGGGCUCAUGUCCUGAGCAGGGAUGCAGAGGAGGAGGAGGAAGGUCCUGGACACAUCAGUGGCUUAUGUGCGUGGAGAGGAGAACCUGGCCGGCUGGAGGCCCAGAGGAGAUAGCCUCAUCCUAGAGCACCAGUGGGAGCUGGAGAAGAUGGAGCAGCUGCAGGAGGUGGAAAAGACCCGUCACCUUCUGGGAGAGGCGGCUCCCGUGGGAACAGCUCCCACCACCAAGUCCCUGAGUGAGUCUCUGUCCCCCAGCGUGAGCUCCGGCACUCUGUCCACAUCCACCUCCGUCUCCUCGCAGAUCUCCAGCACCACCUUUGAAAGCGUGAGAAGGAGCUGGCCACCAAGUGCCUGCGCCUUCUGACACACACCUUCAAUACUGAAUACAAGCAGCUGGUGAACAGCAUCAGUGACUGCAAGCUUUCUCUCAUCUCACCGAUCGGACGUGAUCCAUCCGUGACGAGCUUCAGCAGUGCCACCCUCACCCCUUCCUCUACCUGCCCCUCUCUCUCGGACUCGCGCUGUGGCUCCAUGGGCCAGAAGACCCCUGAGAACAGCUCACGUGCCUCCAGUCCCUCCUGCUCAGACUGUGAAAACUUCCCGAUGGUUCCCACUCUGGAGACCUCCUACCUUGCGCGGGCUGCAAAAGAACGAGUUCCUGAACUUGGUGCCUGAUAUUGAAGAAAUGCGACCAGGGAAUUUUUAAAAGGCACCAAAAAGCAUUACAACGCUGAGCUCGAGUCUGUGGACUUCAAAGGAAAUGCAGAGGAGGCCAGGGUCCACAUCAACAGCUGGGUGGAGAAGCAGACACAAGGUAAGCAUAAUGUAACUUUAAAUGAUCUCCACUGUAAAUCCUUGGGGAUCAGUUGUGUUGUGUUCAGUUGAGACAUUAUUACCGGAUUGUCCACCGUCCACAUUAUUUUCUGUUUCCAGUUCUUCCAGUCUAAUUUCUAUUCAGUAUUAAGCAGCACUAUCUCUGGGUUUUACUGUUUGGUUUCAUGCUAUUAAUAAAACCAUCACAGCAGUAUGUUGCUGUAAAUAGCAGGCCAAUUCUUCUAUUCUUAUUAUAUUAUGUGAUGGGUACUUCUACUUUGAUCACUUGUGUCU